GCUGCAGUGAUGAGCCUUAACAUGGGGAUCAAUUACGGAAUUUUUUCUUCAGUGAAAUCCUCUUGUUAUGCUUGGCUUAUGAGCGUG